rnacentral:tRNA from 3 species
GGGACCGUCGUCUAGCCUGGACUAGGAUGCAGGCCUGGGGCGCCUGUGGUCCCGGGUUCAAAUCCCGGCGGUCCCA